GAUGAACGCUGGCGGCGUGCCUAAUACAUGCAAGUAGAACGCUGAAGGAGGAGCUUGCUCUUCUGGAUGAGUUGCGAACGGGUGAGUAACGCGUAGGUAACCUGCCUGGUAGCGGGGGAUAACUAUUGGAAACGAUAGCUAAUACCGCAUGACAACAGUUAUUGCAUGAUAACUGUUUAAAAGGGGCAACUGCUCCACUACCAGAUGGACCUGCGUUGUAUUAGCUAGUUGGUGAGGUAACGGCUCGCCAAGGCGACGAUACAUAGCCGACCUGAGAGGGUGAUCGGCCACACUGGGACUGAGACACGGCCCAGACUCCUACGGGAGGCAGCAGUAGGGAAUCUUCGGCAAUGGACGGAAGUCUGACCGAGCAACGCCGCGUGAGUGAAGAAGGGUGUCGGAUCGUAAAGCUCUGUUGUAAGAGAAGAACGAGUGUGAGAGUGGAAAGUUCACACUGUGACGGUAUCUUACCAGAAAGGGACGGCUAACUACGUG
rnacentral:rRNA from 1 species